rnacentral:rRNA from 1 species
UCCGUAGGCGGUGUGGCAAGUCGGUAGUGAAAUCUCUCGGCUUAACUGAGAGGCUGCUGCCGAAACUGCCAUGCUCGAGUGCGAGAGAGGCGAGUGGAAUUGCGGGUGUAGCGGUGAAAUGCGUAGAUAUCCGCAGGAACAUCCGAGGCGAAAGCGGCUCGCUGGAUCGCAACUGACGCUGAGGGACGAAAGCUAGGGGAGCAAACAGGAUUAGAUACCCUGGUAGUCCUAGCCCUAAACCAUCAGGACUUGGGGUUUGCCCUGUACGGGGCAAGUCCCCGGAGCUAACGCGUUAAGUCCUGCGCCUGGGGAGUACGGUCGCAAGGCUGAA